GUGAGGAGGGUACCCGCUCUGCCUGCCCAUAUUUGUAUUGCAUUUUCACGGUGAUUUUGUGGAUUAAUCACUUUUCACGGCCGUCAGCUGGUGUGGUCGAAGGUUAUUUAAUCCAGUAUAGCAUCACAACCAGGGGGUUGAAUGGGGGUUCGGACAACGCAAGCUCAGACAUUGCCUUCACCACACUGGGGUACUCAUUUCUGAGCUAAAUUCAUUAAGCCAAGACAGAUAACACAUAAGAAGGCACCGACACAAAGGACUCCUGAGACAUGAUACAUCUGCUACACCAGAGAGGGUCUUCAAAAUAAUUACAUGGCAACGGAAUGUAAAAUGAAGCCGUUCAGGUGCAGCAUCAUACAGUGGUAGGUCAUCUGCAUGUAAUGCUUAGGAUUCAUGUUUGAUGCUAAUACAGAUUUGCAUGAUUAUGGAGACAAACCUGGAAACACUUACAUGAUAAACAACCUAAAGUGAAUAUAUAUAUAUUACCAUUUUUUAUUAUGGCAAGUUUGCAGUUAUGUAAUUCACAACUGACAAUAUUUCCAGUUUUAUUUCAGGAUGUAUCUAAGUGAAAGCUAGUCCUUAUGUGUGUGUGUGUGUGUGUGUGUGUGUAAUUCAUCAAGGCCUGAUCAUAAGCUGGACUCAUCAUUGCCAGCAAGUACUUUCCCAAUUAGUGCAAGGCUCAUUAUAGUAGUUGAUCUCUGGGUACUGUUGGGACCUUCACACACCACACACCCCAUCUUCCAUGCUCAAGGAGGGACAGUAACUACUCCUUGUCAGUGGAAAAAUCUUGGCCUGUGCGGGACUUGCACUUCUGCCUGCCAGGCUGCAAAGCCUGGCAGUGCAGAGCUUUAAUCACUGAGCUAUCUGAGCGAUGUGUAAUUAUCAUGGAUUGAUUACGAACUGGACCUGUCAUCAUCAGCGAGUACCCUCCCAGUUUGAGCAAUAAGGCUCAUUAUAGUUGAUCUCUGGGUACUGCUGGGACCUUAACACACCAUACACCCCAUCCUCCUUGGUCAAGGGGGAACAGUAACCACUCCUUGUCAGCAGAAAUAUCCUGGCCUGAGCCAGGCUCAAACAUCUGCCUGCCAGGCUGCAAAGCCUGGCAGUACAGAGCUUCAACCACCGAGCUAUUGGAGCGGUUUGUGUGUGUGUGUGUGUGUGUGUGUGUGUGUGUGUUCAAACGAAAUGCAUCCUCUAACAUGGUAACAUAAUAUCCAUAUUUGCCAGACUUCCAUUGCUAGUUCUGGUAACUCAACUAUACUUGACACUCUACACUCUUUGGCACCUGUUCUGAUACACUACUGUGCUAGUCUCAUUACCAUUAUUUUAUGAAGAUAGUAUAUGGUAAAAUUUACAAUAUAGGUCCAUAGAUUCUGUAUCCAUAUGAUAAUUUUUCAUAUUCGUAUAAAUUUUCAUAUUAUGGCUAUAGCAAUGUUUUAACAAAUACCUAAGACAGAAAUUUUUGUUCAGUCCUAGGUCAAGACACGCACGCACGCACACACGCACACACACACACACACACACACACACAGCAGCGACCAAACUACCGCAAACUCUGAGAGAACAUACUUAUGAAGAAAGGCUGGAGAAAUUGAGACUAACAACACUGGAAAGAAAAAGAGAGAGAGGGGAACUAAUAGCAUUAUACAGGAUACAAGAGGGAUUGGAGAAAUUGGACAGGGAAGAUUUAGUGGUACGUGGCAGGAGUGUGACAAGAGGGAGUAGUAAUAAAUUGAAGAAGAGCGACUGUAGGUUAGACAUCAAGAAAUACAGUUUUCCAUACAGAAGCAUAACAACAUGGAACGGACUUGACAAGGAGACUGUGUGUGCAAAAACGAUUCAUGAAUUUAAAGCCAAACUGGAUAAUAAGUGUUAUGGAGACGGGACAGCACGAGCCUAGUGUGGCUCUUUUCCUGUAUUUCACAACUAGGUAAACACACACACACAUACACACACACACACACACACACACACACACAGUACUAGUGACAUCCUUGUUCCACACCAAAUCAAAGCCAAGGUAAUCUCCCUAACCAUGUAAGAGUAUCUAAAGUCUUGCAUUUUUAAACAUUCUCUUCAUACUCUUUAGGUUGUCAGCUUUGAGGGAGUCAUUCACCACAUACUGUAGAUGGUAAUUUUCCCAUGAGUAACAAGUUAAAGGUUUAUGAAUAUAAUAUGAAAUAUGAAAAAUGAUAAUGAGAAAAAUAUAUUUAUAUAUAUGUAUAUACAAAAUGACAAUUUCAAGCUGCAUAAAUAUUGAUAAUGUAAUGGUCAUCAGAUUUUUUUAGUUGAUCAAAUAAAUCUAUUGAAUGCAUAACCUGAAACUUAACUGUAAAUAUCUUGGUUUACAUAACCUUCCUGUAAUUUAGGUAUUUCCUAAAAUGAUUCACUAGACUGAAUAUCACAGGUAACCUUGUGUUUCGUGCUAUUUCCUAACAUUUUUCUUAUUUCACCCAUAAUUAAAUACUAAGCUCCCAAUACUACUAUGGGUUGUAGCUGUAUGCUUCUGGACAUUUAAUGUUAUGCCUGGAGUUGUAAAAAUUUCCUCAAGGGUUGCUUGAAGUUGAUCAUACUUGAUGUCAAGUGUUCCACUCUACUGUCCCCACAAAGGUUCAUUGUUGCAGGAAUGUCCCAGGCCAUAUCUAUCCCAGACCAUACCUAUUGUGCUAAACCACACCUAACUCACCCUUCUUUCAUAUUGUUUUGCAGUUGUCUGUUCUUUGGGUGUCUUGAAUCUCAUCUCUAUACAUAAUUCCGAUGCUCCGUCACCUCUGCCACCUCCCAAUGAGGGUCCUUUAAUCUAAAGAAUGUUUUAAAUAGAUUUUUAAGCAGUUUGCUUUCUUCCAUUUUAUGGUUAUAAUAAUAUUUCAUAGUACCUUUUCCAUUUGAACCACUUUGAUCAUACAGUUAACUUCAAAAACCCUCUCUUCUAUUGUCUUCCACAUUGUUUCAAAACAAUAUCCUUAUAUUCUUAUUUCACAUACUGUUUACACCUUUACAAGUAACAAAGUUACAUUAUUGAUUUAUUUCCAUUGACACACCAUAAAUACAAUCCUUUUCACCAUUUUCUCUGGAUUGUACUGCCGGGACCUCACACACCACACCCCCUCCCCCUUGCUCAAGGGGCAACACUAACCACUCCUACUCAGCGGAUAAAACCCGACUGAGUGGGGCUCGAACCUCUGCCUGCCACGCUGUGAAGCCUGGCAGGGCAGCGCUUCAACCGUGAGCUAUCGGAGUGGUGUGUGUGUGUAUUUACCUAUUUGUAGUCUACCGGGCCUGAGCUAAGCUCUGAUAGUCCCGUCUCCAUAUCUACAUUUAUCCAGCCUUUCCUGCAUUUGUUGGACACUGUUUGCCUCCACCACCUCCUCCUGCAAGCUGUUCCAUGUGUUAACACUUCUAUGUGGAAAACUAUACUUUUAGAUUUCAAGUCACUCAAACAGGUUCCUUUAUUAAGUUUGUUCCUAUGUCCUCUCAGCCCCUGCGUUCUCGCAGUUAAGAAGAAAUCAUCUCUAUCCACCUCAUCAAACUUAUUUACCAACUUAUACAGCAUGAUUAGAUCUCCUCUCUCCCUUCUUUGUUCCAGUGUCGUCAAGUCCAUCUCUUUCAAUCUGUCUUCAUACAUCAUAUUUGAGUGUGUGUGUGUGUGUGUGUGUGUGUGUGUGAAAGCACACUUAACUCUUAUUUUUGGUUACAGGAUUUGAGCUGCAUUUGUGUUUUUCCAUCCCCAUAUCUGCUUUUAUCCAAAAUUGCUUUCAGUUCAUUUAUGUUUCUUGCUCACAUUAUCUCUGCUCAAGACCAUUCCAAAUGUUGGUGGGAAAUGUAGAUUUAUUUACAAUGUUCAUGUCCUAAUUUCUCAGUUCUCACUGCUUGUCUACUUGUUCCAGUCUUUAAGCUAAUGAGUUUGUAAUUGUUGUGGGCUUUCUUUAAAUAUUAAUUAUCAUGUUUUACAUAAUUCUUUAUUGCCACUGCACCUUCAGAUUGCUUAGUUUUUUUCAAAUAUAACCCAUAUUUGCUCUAUACACUUAAGAAUUUUUCAUUACACACACACACACACACACACACACACACAGAUACAAAAAGUGGAAAUGAAGAUCAAAUAAUGUGGGAUACAAGAGAAUCAAGAGGUUAUGGAAGGAAGAUAGAAAAGGAAGCCUGUAGAAGAGACAUAAGAUUGGUGGAUACCUGGAAUGGCCUGGAAAAAGAUGUGGUUUGUGAAAAGACGAUUCUUGAUUUUAAGGCCAAGUUUGAUAAUAGUAGAUAUAGAGACAGGACAGUAUGAGUGUAGCUCCUCUCCUAUAUACCACAACUACCUAAAUACACACACAAGAUGGACAUCCCAGUCUCAAAUUUUCCAAAUUUUGGAUUCCUUGGUUAAAAUGUAGACUCAAUUUUUCAAUAUACCUGCAUUUCCUGUCAUUAAUUGUGACUCAUUGAAUGUCUACCAGAUUGUGUGCACAGUUGCAGAAUAUUUUUGAUGUGUGAUCGUGAGUGCAUGGAUGGUAUGCUUAUUACCUUUAAGUAAUUUUUUAACCAUCAGUGGCUUCAAAACAAACAUUUCUGGAUUUCAAUCAUAAUACAUAGAAAAUCUGCCAUUCAGUGGAUGCAGUUAGAGAAAUGUAAGUAAGUUCAGACAUGGACUGGGAACCAAUUUAAGUGUGGCCAGUAAAAAUAUGGAUAAUGGCCGUCAGCUGUAUCAGUGUUGAUGUUUCAGAGUGGAAUAUGGAGCUGUGCUUUGGUAACUUCUAAAAAGGCAUUAAUUGUAGUAAUGGAGUAGAACGACAAGUUUGAGGUCUUACAAGGAAAGGUUGAUAAAAAAGACUAACAACAUAGGAAAGAGGUAAUAUUCAAGGCUAACAUGUCUGCAGUGAUGUAGACUCAAUUACAGAUAGAAUAUCAAAGAAAAAGGAAGGAUGACUGGGUAUUACUUAGAUGUAAUAUAUAUAGAGAAUAUUAAGCAAUAAUUCCCCAUAGAUGUAUAGCCCUUUGGAAUGGUCUAGAGUUAGAGGUGGUGUGUGAACAAAAUAUCCAUAUAUUAAAUAGAUUAGAUAGUAGCAGCAGGUAUGGAGAACAUAAUGAGUACAGCACAUUGUGUAUGCAAUAAUCAAGUAAAAACAUGGGUUACUGUCAGGGUUGGCAGUUUAAACCAAAUGGUUUGAACCA